AGUCGAGGGGUAUAGGUUUUCGGAUCUAGAGACCGGCGCACGGGUGCGUAACGCGUAUGCAAUCUACCUUUUGCAGAGGGAUAGCCCAGAGAAAUUUGGACUAAUACCUCAUAGUAUGCAGAGUUGGCAUCAACACUGCAUUAAAGUCACAACGGCAAAAGAUGAGCAUGCGUCCCAUUAGCUAGUUGGUAAGGUAACGGCUUACCAAGGCUACGAUGGGUAGGGGUCCUGAGAGGGAGAUCCCCCACACUGGUACUGAGACACGGACCAGACUCCUACGGGAGGCAGCAGUGAGGAAUAUUGGACGAUGGGCGCAAGCCUGAUCCAGCCAUGCCGCGUGCAGGAUGACGGUCCUAUGGAUUGUAAACUGCUUUUGCACAGGAAGAAACAACGCUACGUGUAGCGUCUUGACGGUACUGUGAGAAUAAGGAUCGGCUAACUCCGUGCCAGCAGCCGCGGUAAUACGGAGGAUCCAAGCGUUAUCCGGAAUCAUUGGGUUUAAAGGGUCCGUAGGCGGUUUAGUAAGUCAGUGGUGAAAGCCCAUCGCUCAACGGUGGAACGGCCAUUGAUACUGCUAGACUUGAAUUAUUAGGAAGUAACUAGAAUAUGUAGUGUAGCGGUGAAAUGCUUAGAGAUUACAUGGAAUACCAAUUGCGAAGGCAGGUUACUACUAAUGGAUUGA
rnacentral:rRNA from 1 species